GUUUUCAGUAUUUUUGUCUAUUUUAUCCGGGAGGACAUUCUGUACGAGAAACUAAUCCCGUAACAUUUCAGCUAUGAUCUCCAAUGUCCUGUAAUAUUAUUGCUUUCUCUUUGCUACUUGAUGUAGGCUAUUAGGGGACACAAUUGGAGUUCACACACUGUAACCCAACUGCAGAGGGAAAGAGCUUCAGCCGGAGUUCUGUCCUGAGGGAACCCGGAGGCGCUCUGUGCCGUAGGGCUCCAUGAUGAGCAGUUCCCUCUUGUGGGCCGUGGAUGUGUAUGGAAGAGUGUACUGCCUGUCCACCGCUGGAGGGCGUUGGGAGCGCUCGAAGGACAAAGUGCUGGAGCUGAAACGCGUAGCGGCUGUCAAGCAAUGUUGCUGGGGUAUUGGGUGCGACAAUCAACUUUACCUCAACGUUAACUCAAGUGAUACGGCAAUACGUUACCAAGAAGAAACGUAUGAAAACCAGCGCUGGAAUCCGUUGGAUGGUUUCACGGACGCGCUGCUGCCCACUGACCGCUGGUCAUGGACGGACGAGGCGGGACUGAGCUCUCAGCCGCUGCACAGCUUCCAGCUGCCCUCCGAGAGCUGGG